rnacentral:rRNA from 1 species
UUAUCCGGAUUUAUUGGGUUUAAAGGGAGCGUAGGCGGGUGCUUAAGUCAGUUGUGAAAGUUUGCGGCUCAACCGUAAAAUUGCAGUUGAUACUGGGCGCCUUGAGUGCAGCAUAGGUAGGCGGAAUUCGUGGUGUAGCGGUGAAAUGCUUAGAUAUCACGAAGAACUCCGAUUGCGAAGGCAGCUUACUGGACUGUAACUGACGCUGAUGCUCGAAAGUGUGGGUAUCAAACAGGAUUAGAUACCCUGGUAGUCCACACAGUAAACGAUGAAUACUCGCUGUUGGCGAUACACAGUCAGCGGCCAAGCGAAAGCAUUAAGUAUUCCACCUGGGGAGUACGCCGGCAACGGUGAAACUCAAAGGAAUUGACGGGGGCCCGCACAACGGAGGAACUGUGGUUUAAUCGAUGAUACCAGGACCUUACCCGGCUU